GUAGUCAUAUGCUUGUCUCAAAGAUUAAGCCAUGCAUGUCUAAGUAUAAGCAAUCAUACUGUGAAACUGCGAAUGGCCCAUUAAACCAGUUAUCGUUUAUUUGAUAGUACCUUUACCUGGAUAACCGUGGUAAUUCUAGAGCUAAUACAUGCUAAAAACCCCGACUUCGGAAGGGGUGUAUUUAUUAGAUAAAAAACCAAUGCCCUCUGGGCUCCUUGGUGAUUCAUAAUAACUUAACGAAUCGCAUGGCCUUGCGCCGGCGAUGGUUCAUUCAAAUUUCUGCCCUAUCAAUUUUCGAUGGUAGAGUAGUGGUCUACCAUGAUCUUAACGGGUAACGGGGAAUUAGGGUUCUAUUCCGGAGAAGGAGCCUGAGAAACGGCUACUACAUCCAAGGAAGGCAGCAGGCGCGCAAAUUACCCAAUGCUAAUUCAGCGAGGUAGUGACAAUAAAUACUGAUACGGGGCUCUUUCGGGUCUCGUAAUUGGAAUGAGUACAAUCUAAAUCCCUUAACGAGGAACAAUUGGAGGGCAAGUCUGGUGCCAGCAGCC
rnacentral:rRNA from 1 species